UCUUCUAUCUUUGGAUAGAAACAGAACAGAGAGCAAAGCUCUCACUGCUCCGCCAUCCUCCUCACACUGCAACGGCGUCCGGCCUCCUCCUGACGGCGAACUACCACCACGCCAUCUCUCUGUCGUUCUCUCUCUGUUCAUAGUUCUUAAUCCACCAUGCAACCACAGAUCAGGUAGAUCAAAAGAUUAUCUGGGAAGCCCCUGUUCUGCAAACCUUGAUCAAUUUCUCAAUCUUCGGUGACACCUCCGAUCACAAGAGAGGUUCCAGUGUACGACUCUGAUGUCUACAACGACUUGACGACUUCGGUGAGGCAUAGCUGCUGCUGUUUAUACAGGUUGAAGGGCUGAGAGUAUCUUAAGGAAUGCCAAGAAAGGGCUGGAAGGAGUUCGGCAUGAUAAAGUUCAUCUUUUUCUAUUACCAAGUUUGCAGGAAAAAACCAGAUGAGGUCAAUGGUGCUAGUUAUUGAGGCAUAGUUAUCAAGUCCGCUUCCACUAGCUAAGUCGUAACUUGUUAUUUUCUACUAUGAUAUUUUUGGUAUAAGAUAGGUCGUUAGAAAUAUGUCAACUGAUUUAGAUUGAAUUGUUGUGGAGUUGGUUGAUGAAUUGGGAGCAUGAAGGCUCUAGGUUUGAGGAUGGACUUGUAAUUUUAGAAGUGUUGUUUUGUGCAAGUAAAAUUGGCUACUUUUGGCUACUUUUAAAGGAUUAUAUGCCAAAAUUUUGGCAUG